AACGAACGCUGGCGGCAUGCCUAACACAUGUAAGUCGAACGAGACCUUCGGGUCUAGUGGCGCACGGGUGCGUAACGCGUGGGAAUCUACCCUUGGGUUCGGAAUAACAGUUAGAAAUGACUGCUAAUACCGGAUGAUGACGUAAGUCCAAAGAUUUAUCGCCCAAGGAUGAGCCCGCGUAAGAUUAGCUUGUUGGUGGGGUAAUGGCCUACCAAGGCGACGAUCUUUAGCUGGUCUGAGAGGAUGAUCAGCCACACUGGGACUGAGACACGGCCCAGGCUCCGACGGGAGGCAGCAGUGGGGAAUAUUGGACAAUGGGCGAAAGCCUUAUCCAGCGAUGCCGCGUGAGUGAUGAAGGCCUUAGGGUUGUAAAGCUCUUUUACCAGGGAUGAUAAUGACAGUACCUGGAGAAUAAGCUCCGGCUAACUCCGUGCCAGCCGCCGCGGUAA
rnacentral:rRNA from 1 species